UACGGGGGGAGCAAGCGUUGUUCGGAUUUACUGGGCGUAAAGGGCGCCGUAGGCGGCCACCGCAAGUCGACUGUGAAAUCUCCGGGCUUAACCCGGGAAAGGUCAGCCGAUACUGCGGGGCCUAGAGUGCAGAAAGGGGGCAACUGGAAUUCUCGGUGUAGCGGUGAAAUGCGUAGAUAUCGAGAGGAACACCUGCGGCGAAGGCGGGUUGCUGGGCUGACACUGACGCUGAGGCGUGAAAGCUAGGGGAGCGAACGGG
rnacentral:rRNA from 1 species